AGCGAACGCUGGCGGCAGGCUUAACACAUGCAAGUCGAGCGGGCAUCUUCGGAUGUCAGCGGCAGACGGGUGAGUAACACGUGGGAACGUACCCUUCGGUUCGGAACAACUCUGGGAAACUGGAGCUAAUACCGGAUACGCCCUUAUGGGGAAAGGUUUACUGCCGAAGGAUCGGCCCGCGUCUGAUUAGCUAGUUGGUGGGGUAACGGCCUACCAAGGCGACGAUCAGUAGCUGGUCUGAGAGGAUGAUCAGCCACACUGGGACUGAGGCACGGCCCAGACUCCUACGGGAGGCAGCAGUGGGGAAUAUUGGACAAUGGGCGCAAGCCUGAUCCAGCCAUGCCGCGUGAGUGAUGAAGGCCUUAGGGUUGUAAAGCUCUUUUGUCCGGGACGAUAAUGACGGUACCGGAAGAAUAAGCCCCGGCUAACUUCGUG
rnacentral:rRNA from 1 species